UCAGAUCCCUUCUACCGCUCACUCCAGGUUUCGAGAUAUAUAACAAGCUAGGUAGCAUGUCUCAUCGCAAAUUUGAGCAUCCCAGACAUGGCUCAUUGGGCUUUCUCCCUCGGAAAAGGGCUGCUCGUCACAGAGGAAAAGUGAAGGCAUUCCCCAAGGAUGAUUCUGCCAAACCUUGCAGGCUAACUGCCUUCUUGGGAUACAAAGCUGGGAUGACCCACAUUGUUAGAGAAGUUGAGAAGCCUGGGUCAAGUGAGUAGUUUCUAUUUGUGUACUUUUUUCAUCUUUACUUGUUGGGAGGACAUUUUUGCUUUUCAUUUCUUAUAUAUAAAAGAGCUUUAAAUAUUUGGAUA